ACACAUGCAAGUCGAACGAAGUUUUUCUUUCGGGAGGAACUUAGUGGCGGACGGGUGAGUAACGCGUGGGUAACCUGCCCUGUACAGGGGGACAACAGCUGGAAACGGCUGCUAAUACCGCAUAAGCCCUUAGCACUGCAUGGUGCAUAGGGAAAAGGAGUAAUCCGGUACAGGAUGGACCCGCGUCUGAUUAGCCAGUUGGCAGGGUAACGGCCUACCAAAACGACGAUCAGUAGCCGAUCUGAGAGGAUGUACGGCCACAUUGGGACUGAGACACGGCCCAGACUCCUACGGGAGGCAGCAGUGGGGAAUAUUGCACAAUGGAGGAAACUCUGAUGCAGCGACGCCGCGUGAGUGAAGAAGUAUUUCGGUAUGUAAAGCUCUAUCAGCAGGGAAGAAAAUGACGGUACCUGACUAAGAAGCACCGGCUAAAUACGUGCCAGCAGCCGCGGUAAUACGUAUGGUGCAAACGUUAUCCGGAUUUACUGGGUGUAAAGGGAGCGUAGGUGGCAAGGCAAGCCAGAAGUGAAAACCCGGGGCUCAACCGCGGGAUUGCUUUUGGAACUGUCAUGCUAGAGUGCAGGAGGGGUGAGCGGAAUUCCUAGUGUAGCGGUGAAAUGCGUAGAUAUUAGGAGGAACACCGGAGGCGAAGGCGGCUCACUGGACUGUAACUGACACUGAGGCUCGAAAGCGUGGGGAGCAAACAGGAUUAGAUACCCUGGUAGUCCACGCGGUAAACGAUGAAUACUAGAUGUCGGGAAGCAUUGCUUCUCGGUGUCGUCGCAAACGCAAUAAGUAUUCC
rnacentral:rRNA from 1 species